CCUACGGGAGGCAGCAGUGGGGAAUAUUGCACAAUGGGGGAAACCCUGAUGCAGCGACGCCGCGUGAGUGAAGAAGGAAUUCGGUAUGUAAAGCUCUAUCAGCAGGGAAGAAAAUGACGGUACCUGAGUAAGAAGCCCCGGCUAACUACGUGCCAGCAGCCGCGGUAAUACGCAGGGGGCAAGCGUUAUCCGGAUUUACUGGGUGUAAAGGGAGCGUAGACGGCAGUGCAAGUCUGGAGUGAAAGGCGGGGGCUCAACCCCCGGACUGCUCUGGAAACUGUACGGCUGGAGUGCAGGAGAGGUAAGUGGAAUUCCUGGUGUAGCGGUGAAAUGCGUAUAUAUUAGGAGGAACACCAGUGGCGAAGGCGGCUUACUGGACUGUAACUGACGUUGAGGCUCGAAAGCGUGGGGAGCAAACAGGAUUAGAUACCCUAGUAGUC
rnacentral:rRNA from 1 species